CGACUGUCAGCAGUGGGCAGCAACAAAAAGGGCAGAGGAAUGUGUGGUUGCCUUUUGGAAGGACUACCCGCUGGAUGUUGAGGAGCAAGAGGGACCCUUAAAACUUGUGGGUAUCCUGGCCUAGGCGACAAGAGCAAAUGCAAUUCCACCCCUGGGCUUCUCCCCAGGACCUUCAGACGAUUUUCUCCAUGAGCUGCCCCUCAGACAAGGCCGUCAUUUAACCACUGCAAACACAUGCAUUUACUGCCUGCAAUUGCAAGUCCU